AUUCAAUAUCUGACCUCGAAUCAGGUGGGACUACCCGCUGAACUUAAGCAUAUCAAUAAGCGGAGGAAAAGAAACUAACAAGGAUUCCCCUAGUAACGGCGAGUGAAGCGGGAUGAGCUCAAAUUUAAAAUCUGGCAGUCUUUGGCUGCCCGAGUUGUAUNCUAGAGAAGCGUUUUCU
rnacentral:rRNA from 1 species